GACGAACGCUGGCGGCGUGCUUAACACAUGCAAGUCGAACGGAAAGGCCCUGCUUUUGUGGGGUGCUCGAGUGGCGAACGGGUGAGUAACACGUGAGUAACCUGCCCUUGACUUUGGGAUAACUUCAGGAAACUGGGGCUAAUACCGGAUAGGAGCUCCUGCUGCAUGGUGGGGGUUGGAAAGUUUCGGCGGUUGGGGAUGGACUCGCGGCUUAUCAGCUUGUUGGUGGGGUAGUGGCUUACCAAGGCUUUGACGGGUAGCCGGCCUGAGAGGGUGACCGGCCACAUGGGGACUGAGAUACGGCCCAGCCUCCUCCGGGGGGCAGCAGGGGGGAAUAUUGCAAAAUGGGCGGAAGCCGGAUGCAGCAACGCCGGGGGCGGGAUGACGGCCUUCGGGUUGUAAACCGCUUUCGCCUGUGACGAAGCGUGAGUGACGGUAAUGGGGAAAGAAGCCCCGGCAAACUACGG
rnacentral:rRNA from 1 species